rnacentral:tRNA from 1 species
GCUCCCGUGGUGGAAUAGACAGACACAGCUGACUUAAGAUCAGCUGCUAGAGAUAGCGUGAGGGUUUGAGUCCCUCCGGGAGUACCA